GAUGAAAGUGUCCUUUCAUUAUGUAUUUGGUGAGGUUCCUAGUUGAUUGUUGAGGUUUAGAGUGAUCCAAUCCUUCAAAUUGGUUCCGAAGAAAACUUGCACAGCAACUGGUUUUAUCACGUUCAUCCAGUUGCUUGAGGCAAUCGGACAAUUUCUGAAAGCAUGUAAAGUGUCUUCUGGCUGAGUUUUGCAACUAUGGCAUGUGUCAUCACCACCAAAGGCCUUUGUAUGUAGCUCCAAUGAAAAAAUCACCAUCCUCCGUGUGCUUUCAGCCUAUCUUGUCCUCAUCUUGGUCUAAGGAUGGAGGUGGAGAUGUCGUGAUCUUGGCCACAAUAUCUUCCGCAGGCUAUUUAUGUCUUCUACCCAGGGAUCUCGCCAGAAGUUCGUUGAGAGUCCAUCCCCAAUCUGGCAAAACGUGUCCCUCUUGUAUUCUGGCUAAACUUUGACUAAUUCUUUCCAUAAAGGAUAUUAAAGUUGACCGAUUGUACCCCUUGCAUUAACAACAACUGCUACUUUCGGCCUAAUACAAGAAGCUAAAAGCGACGAGGAGGAAAUUAGGCCAGAUAAAGUGUUAGCAUAGCAGAGAAAUAAGUGUGUGAAGAAGCAGCUAGUUUGGAUGAAGGAUUACGAGCUGUAAAAUAGAGGUGCUAUAAAGUAAUAAAAUCGAAGGGCUAUCAAUUGGUGCUCUCAUUGAGAGAGGUUACUGAAGGAACACGAUUAGAAAAAUUAACACUCCAAUAAGCAUGAGGUAGCACGUUGAGUCGUGGUUUAAUGGAGGCAAAUGAACGGAUAGCGGAGAUGAUGCUGCAACUUACAACGAUAGAUUCAUCAUUGCGUGCUAUUGAAAAGCUGCUCCGUGAGGGGUUUGAAACACAAGACAGCUAGUGGCGAUCCCAGUUUUGCCGGAGAUGAUUUUGUGGAAAGAUCUGGAUCGAGGUCUGUGAAUUUGAAUGGAGAACUAUAAUGGCCACGGAAAUUGAAGGUGGCUGGGCGACGAUGACUUUGGUGGCUUUGUUUAGGGUGACUAUAGAUGGCUAGAUGUUGACCUGCCAAUAAAGAUAUAAACAGCUGUAAAGUUUUACAAGAUCAUUAUUUAUGUACUUAUAAGGUAAA